rnacentral:ncRNA from 1 species
AUUGAAUCUAUCUCUUCAGGUGCUCUGGGAACAGAGAUAAUAGGGAAACCGGUGAAAUCCCGGUACGGUCCCGCCACUGUAAUCAGCAUGUUUCGGAACAACACCACUGCAAUACGUGGGAAGGUGUUGAAUAUACCGAGCUGAGAGUCAGGAGACCUGCCUGAAGAGCCAGAGCGAA